rnacentral:rRNA from 1 species
GAUGAACGCUAGCGGCAGGCCUAACACAUGCAAGUCGAGGGGCAGCACAUAAAGUGGUUUACUACUUUUGGUGGCGACCGGCGGACGGGUGCGUAACGCGUAUGCAACCUGCCUCCAACAGGGGGAUAACGGAGAGAAAUUUCCACUAAUACCCCAUAAUAUCAGAAUCGGCAUCGGUUUUGGUUGAAAACUCCGGUGGUUGGAGAUGGGCAUGCGUUGUAUUAGAUAGUUGGUGAGGUAACGGCUCACCAAGUCAACGAUACAUAGGGGGACUGAGAGGUUAGCCCCCCAAACUGGCACUGAGACACGGACCAGACUCCUACGGGAGGCAGCAGUGAGGAAUAUUGGUCAAUGGGGGCAACCUUGAACCAGCCAUGCCGCGUGCAGGAAGACGGCUCUAUGAGUUGUAAACUGCUUUUACAAGGGGAUAAAUCGGUGUACGUGUACACCGUUGAAGGUACCUUGGGAAUAAGGAUCGGCUAACUCCAUGCCAGCCGCCGCAGUAA